rnacentral:lncRNA from 1 species
CAAUGAUUAACGUAAAUAUUACUUUGUAAACAGGUCCGAAGCCCCCUCUUCCAAGCUUGUUUGCUUCUGAAAAAUAAUCCGUAGCUGCUAGUAUGCUGUCUAAAUCAAAGAAAGGUACAUCUAUGCCCUUCUUAUCUUCUUCGUUGAACUCUUCUGCAUCCAUCAAGUUCUUGACCCGUUUCUCAGUGCCAUACAAAACAGCUGCAUUUCUUUCAGUAUUUUGCUGGCUUUCUGAAAUUUCAACAAGACAACUGCUAAUUACAUGAGGAAUCCCUUAAAAACUUCAAUACCUACACGUUGAAAAUUUUUCUAGUUACCUCGUCGUUUGGCCUUCUUUCUCAUAAAAAUGCAGAUGUAAAGGAAGAUGCUUGAUAGAACUAUGACACUAGCAAUUGUAACUCCUACAAUCAAAGACAAUGGUUUCUUUUUCCUCGAAGAUCCUCCUGCUUGUCCAUCGACAACUUCAAGAAAGAAAGGGGGUAUGCGCAUUAUAAUAAAUUAAACUGGAUGAAACUUAUGGUUUUCACUACUUUUGCAGUUUGAGGCAAGAUAUAGAGUGCUCACCAUGAACGCAAUUUAGAGCAUUGCCAUCCCACCAAAAAUUUGAAUUGCAGAGGCAUCUCGCUGUACCAUUUCCUUUUUUAUUGCAAGUUGAAUUUGGCCAAUCGUCGCAGUCUGAAGAUGAAGAGCAGACUGGCUCUUGAGGUGGCUCCCAACCAAUAACUAUUUCUACCAGACCUUGAGAUGAAACAUUGGAAUCACACCAGCGUUUAGAGGGUUCAUCUUAAAUGGAAAUGACGUGUUGAACUUCCGAAUUUGACCUCUUGUACUGGCAUUACAAUCAUCUACAUCUUUCUCUUGGAUAACAAAUGUUCUUGUAUCUUGAUUGAUGGUAGUGACAUUAUAGGUGCCGCUGUGUGUCUUAAAGCUGAGUUUUCCUAUGGAAUUAUUGCAGUAGAAACUGGAGUACAUGGGGUCACCACAAUCUGAUCCAGUGCUUAGAGGAUAAGGAAUCACAUUUGUGCCACAAGGCUCACAACUUUUAGCCUUUGAUUCUGCAAAACAUGGAGCUUUUUUUAAGGUAUGAGACAGUACUGAUAUUUAGUUCAGUUAUGAAUUAAGUCCACUGCUUGUCUGCAAUCUUCUAUCAGAGAAAAAUUAUCCUUGACGUAAUUCUAGCAUCUUGUAGUAACAAAAGGAGAAAGAACAAGUCGAAAGAAGAAAGUACCUAUAUCAGAAAUGGCGACUCGGACAAAGAGAUCGGGACCAUCAGAAGAGUAUUCCUCCUGGAGAUCUUUAAGAUCUUCAUCCAUCCAGAGCAAGCAAGUAGGUUGUCUCUCCCUUCGCAUAUGUACUUCCCCCUUCACAAAGGAAUAAGCUUGGCAUUGGCACUUAUCGAGACACUCCUCUCUGCAUUUCUUUUCAUCCUCAACCACAAAUGAAGUGUCUGCUUGCCCAACUCUCAUAUUCUUCAAGCUCAAGAAGGUGCCAUUCUUCCCACAUGCGGCAGCGCUUCUGAUGCAACCGCUGGAGAAAUCUUCAUUCCCCCUAUUUUCCUGUGAGUUAGGCUUAAAUCCGGGCAAACAUCUGCAAGGCAACCUAUUGUAUAGAUUGCAGCUUCCAAAAGUUCCCACAGGCAUUAAACACACUGCAUUUGUCUCUCGGCUCAAACCAUCGCAAAGACCAAUUUGUAUACACAUCGAAGUUCCAGUAUUGUAGCUCCCCUUCAACAUCCAACCUAAUCCUUGAAUUACUAAAAUAUGAGCGUGAUAGAGUUGUAUUUGUAGUAGAUGGAGUUGUUAUGUUGAAUAUUGAAUUUGUAGGAGGUACAAUGCUGGUGAAGUUCGAUAGAAAAUAUACUAUUCCAUCAGGCAUACUUUCUGAGCUAAAGAAAUCACUUGACUCCCCACUAGUCCAAUGCUUUAUAUGGUCAAUAUUGUCGAUAACAAACUGGCCCCCUUCUUCAUCUAGCUGAAAUGUGAAGUUACCUUCUUGUGGAUCAACUUCACUUUUCCAUGACGUCAAAUUUAGAUCCCCACUCAUCUUCAUACCUGGAAGAAAUGUAUCAGUUGGAUGGUCAAAGCUUUGCCAUAGAAUAGUUGCCAAAAGGGUAUUACUAUCACACAAAACCAAGUUCCCAGAAUCUAAGAGCUUAGCCAACCCAUUCGCUGGUUUUGAUGUUGAUUCAAGCUCUGUAGACCAAAAAGGAUCUCUAUUUUUAUCCAAAAUCUUGAGGUUUCCAUCAUCUGUGACAGCCAAAACUGCUCCAUCAUCAAGAAGUGGGCUGUGUCGAUUGGCAACCCACACAACUAUUCGUGGAGUCGACCCGUAAUACCAAAUUCCUACGUAGCUUUUAUUUUGUUCAGGAGUAAAGAACCCCAGUUCAAACCUUUUUCCUGCUGAAACAAGAGUUUCUCCACCAUGAUUAGUAAUCAAAUUACCAGCAUAUGUGAUCGUAUCUCCAGCAAAGCAACAUAAAAGGGAGGAGCAUAAUAAGAAUGCAUAAGAAAAGAAAACGGUUGAUAGCAUGCUAUGCAUUGCACAUAGAUCUCUCUGGUUAAGACCUCUUCUUACCAUCAACCAUAACCAUGAAUGUAUCACUAAGGCCAACUGCAAAGCAAAUUUUCACUGCACUUGUUCUUUGUUGACGCUGACCAUAAAUGAAGGGAGAGGAUGCUUCACUAAACUUAUAUUAAUUUAGAAUAGUUAAUCAUUAGAACACGACAACAUUUUCCUAGUCACCGACUAAAAUCUAACAGUGGAAAUAUGGUAUGGUAGUGCUUAUUUUUAAAAUAUAUUUUAUUUAAUAAUAUAUUAAAAUAAUAUUUUAUUAUUUUAAAAAAUUAUUUUUGAUGUUAAUUUAUUAAAAUAAUUUAAAAAUAUGUAUAUAAAAUUAAUUUUUAAAAAAUAAAAUUUAAUAAAACAUUGUUUGAAAUACAAUUUUAAAUAACCAUAUCAGUCUUAAUUACCAAUGGUGAUAGAGUUGUAGAGUGAGGUUAUAAUAAAGAUAAUACUGGCAAAGUAAAAAAUAAUUAUGGCAACAGUGAUAAUGAUAUUCCAUGUAAUGAGAAGAUAAGAUUUUGAUGAUUAAGAUUGUUGGAUGAUUUUGUGUAUAAAUUAUUAUUUAUAAAAUAUUUUAUCUUGUAAAAGAUUGUUAUUUUAUUAUUUUUAAAAAAUUAUUUUUGAUAUCAAAAUAUAAAAAAUAUAAAAAAUUAAUUUUUUUUAAAAUCAAAAUUUAAUAAAACAUCAUUUAAAAUACAAUUUCAAAUAACUUUAUUUGGCUAUUUAAAAUGUAUUAAAUAAUAUUUUUGUUAUUUUUAAAAAAACUAUUUUUGACAUUAAUAUAUCAAAAUAAUCUAAAAUUUAAAAAAUAAAUUUAAAAAAUUAAAAUGUAAUAAAACACCAUAAAUACAGUUUCAAAUACCUUUAUCUGGCUUAAAUUUUCUUUAAUGGUGGUACCCGGCCAUGGCGAUAGAGUUGCCGUAGUGGGGUGGUAAUGAAAAUAGCAACAGUGAUGAUAAUAUUGCAUGUAGUGAUGAUGAUAAUUAAGAUUUUAAAUAAAAAAAUUAUAAUUUAAUGAGAAACACAAUUUAAAACAACUUUAUCUAGCUUAAAUUUUCUUUAAUGGUGGUACCAUAGUGAUAGAGUUGCCGUAGUGGGGUGGUAAUGAAGAUAGCAACAGUGAUGAUAAUAAUGCAUGUAGUGAUGAUGAUAAGAUUUUGAUGGUUAAGAUUGUUGGAUGAUUUUGUGUGUAAAUUAUUAUUUAAAAAAGUUUAAAAAAUAUUUUAUUUUGUUAAAUAUUUUAUUUAAAACAAAUUCCUUCUUAAACUACCCAUAAAUAAUUAAAUUGCUUGCUGCAGGCGUGUUCUUUUCUUUUCAAGUCUUGGCUCUCCUUUUCCCACGCAAUUUUCUGUGGCAACAAGGGCCCGUCAAGGCAUUUUUCAACUUUAUGCAUUCAUGCUUUCAUGUCCACUCUUUCUGUAAGUAUAUCCUUCAUUUUGACAAAACCCACUAUUCCAUCCUAUAUUUUCACCAAACUUGUCAAAAGAGUCCCUCCAUUAUUAAUUUGGUCAAUUGAGCAUAUGUUUUUUCAAAUUUCAGUCAAUUGAGUAAAAUUUUCCGAAAUUAAAGAUUUAUCUCUAUCAAUUGAGAAAUUCUUCUUCACAACCUUAAUGCUUUGAAGUAUAAUAGAAAUAUUAAUAUUUAUAACACAAAUAAUAGUAUUUUUAAUUAUUAAAUACCUUCAAUUAUAAUAAAAAUAAUAAUAUUUAUGUCACAAAUAAUAAUAAUAAUUUUAUCUUUCAAAUCAACUAUAUGGCUUUUCUUUGGUGGUUAUUAUUAUUAUUAUCAUGGGGAAAAGUCUUAUUCAUCAAAACUCAUUGCACUGUGAGUUGCACAUUUGGGAGGGGGGACAUGGUGUGAUGUAGCCCAAGGCCACAAACACCUGGCACAAGGGCAAUCAUGCUCAGCCAUAUAGAGUUCCAAGGUUGCAGGGGGAGGUUGCGCCCCAGGCUGCGGACACCUAGCGCUUGGGCUAUCAUCAUUCCUGGCGCUAGGGCCAGACCUGCGAGCCUGACUGCUCAUCCAAGCCAGCAGGUUUGUUGACCUGUGCGCUGGGUCCGAACAUGGAUCCCUUUCUGUUGGGUCAGGCAUCCUGACCUAAAUCGCUUGUAUCUGGACACAAACCCAGCACCUUUGGGUCCGGACACGGCCCAACCCCCAACCCCUUGAGGUCCAAACACGAAAGGACCCAAACCCCUUGAGUCCGAACACCGUAAGACCCAAACCCCAACCCUUUAGGUUCGGACAUGGCCCCAUCCCCAAUCCGUUGGGUCUGAACACGGACCCAUCCCCCAACCCCUUUGGGUCCCCACCCCGCCCAACACGCAACCCCAACCCCCAACCCCCUUGGGUCCCCACCCCGCCCAACCCCCUUGGUUCCGGGCAUGGACCCAACCCCCAUUGGGUCUGGGCAUAAACCCAACCCCCAAAUCCCUUGGGUCCAGACACCGAAGGACCCAAAUCCCUUGAGUCAAGACACCAAAGGACCCAAACCCUAACCACGGGGUCCGAAGAUGGACCUAACCCCUUGGGUCUAGAUACAGCCCAAUCCCCAAGCCCCUUGGUUUAGGGCUACGUACCCAAAUCCCAAGCCCUUUGGGUCUGGACACGGACCCAUCCCCUAACCUACUUGGGUCCCCACCCCGCCCAACCCCCAACUCCCUUGGGUCUGGACACGAAAUAACCUAAACCCCUUGGGUCUGGACACCGAAGACCCGAACCUUAACCCCUUUGGUCCGGACACGAACCCAAUCCCCUUGGGUUUGGGCACGGACCCAACCUCCCUUGGAUCCGGACACGGAAGGAACCAACCCCCAACCCCCUUGGGUUUGGGCACGGACUCAACCUCCCUUGGAUCCGGACACGGAAGGAACCAACCCCUUGGGUCCCCACCCCGCCCAACCCCAACCCCCUUGGGUUUGGGCAUGGACCCAACCCUAAACCCCCAUUGGAUCCGGACAUGGAAGGAACAAAACCCCUUGGAUUCGGACACCGAAAGACCUAAACCCCAAUCCCUGUGUCCGGACACGGACCCAACCCCUUUGGUAUUGUUCCACCAAUACAAUGUUAGCUGUUUACAAUUUAUAAAGACAAUGACAUGCGUAUUUUUUGUUGUGCAGGAUUGCAAGGCCUGAGCCAACAUGUAUGUUGAUACAGCUGCUAGAAGAGCUACAUCUUAUUUUUUAUUUUUGUAUUGAAAAAAAAUUAAAAGCUCUUGCUCAUUUCCAUCUGCUGAAUCAUGAAGCUUUUAUAUUAAUGUUUUUGUUGUUUGGUGUGUUGGUGUAAUACAACAACAUACAUUACUUUUCUAUGUAUUGUGUCUUCUAGCUAUGCUAAACCUUGCAUCAUGCAGUAAAAAUGAUAAAUUUUAUUUCAGAAUUAAAAAAAUCUAUUACAUGUUUCCAUCUUAGAAUAUGUUGUUUUUUCACAUUAGUUUUUAACCAUUUGGUUAGGGUUUUUUUUUUAUCUUUUUAAAAAGAAUACACAAGGUGCCAAGACUUGUUAUUAUUAGAAAAAAAAAAAAAGUGAAUUUGAUUUCAAAUAUAAAAUUAAAAACUAUAAAAACUUAGAAAUUUUUUUUUUUAACCCACGUUGUUUUAAACACAAAUAUUUUUUUAAUACCAUUUUUUAAAAUAUUUAUAACAUAAAUAAUACUAUUUUUAAUAUUAAUACCAUCAAUUAUAAUAAAAAUAAUAAUAUUUAUAGCACAAAUAAUAAUAAUAAUAAUACUUUUAAUUUUAUCCUUCAAAUCAACUAAAUGAUUUUUCUUUGGUGGUAAUAAUAUUUUAUUUCAAAUUUAUUAAUGACUAAUGAUAAUAAGAACAAUAAUUUAUACCUUUACCCUACAAAUAAGUCCUAUACUAGGACCUAAUGGUAAUGGGUCUUGCUUCAAGACCUAAUUUCUAUGGGUCCUCGCCAGGCCUAAAUAAUUUGUGUUAUAAAUAUUCUUUGGUUUUUUUAAUAUAAUAAUUUAUAUUAUAAAUAUUAUUAUUUCUAUUAUAAUUUAAAGUGUUCAUAUAAAAAAUAUUAUUAUUUUUGUUAUAAUUUAAAGUGUUCAUAUCUAAAAUAUUAUUAUUUUUAUUAUAACUCAAAGUAUUGAUAUAAAAAAUAUUAUUAUUUGUGUUAUAAAUAUUAUUAUUUUUAUUAUAAUUCUAAAUAUUCAUAUCAAAAAUAGUAUUAUUUGUGUUAUAAAUAUUAUUAGUUUUAUUAUAAUUAAUAUUAUUAAUAAAAUAAUUAAUAAAUUUAAAAAAUAUAUUAUUUUUUAUAUUAUAAUUUUUUAUAGUAUUUUUUAUGAAAAUAAAAAGUGAGCUCGCCACGUAGCACGGACACCCAACUAGUAUAUAUUAAAGGGUUUCAAAUCUCACACUGAAAAAAUAACUUUUUUCUUGUGAACAUAGAGUAUAUAUACUAAAGGGUUUCAAACCUCACUUUGAAAAGAUAUUAUGCUAUUCUUUUAAGUUGAAAUAUUUAAACCAAAAUUUUUUUUUAUCCCACAUUGAAAAAACAUAAUUUUUUUUCUUGUGAAUAUAGAGUAUAUACUAAAAGGUUCGAAUCUCACAUUGAAAAAAUAACUUCUUUUUUUGUGAACAUAUAAUAUAUAUACUAAAGGGCUUGAAAUCUUAUAUUGAAAAAAAUAAUUUUUUUCUUACGAACAUAGAGUAUAUAUACUAAAGAGUUUCAAAUCCAACAUUAAAAAAAUAAAAUAUAAUACUAGUAUUUAUAAAGUAAACUUUAAAAAUGAUUAAUAACCAACUAAAAAAAUAUAAAAAAAGAGUGGUUUAGGAGAUAAACCACAUUUGAAAAGAAAAAAAAUCUCAUCCGAGUUUACCUAGUUCAACCCGCCAGGUUUUUACACUAGCCGAUCUUGUAUCUUACCCGAACCGAUCUAGCCAAUAAAUCAACCGGAUCAAGUUUAAUUCUAUGCUUUGAAUGCGAUUUUUUUUAUAAUAGGAAGUUGUUUUAAUGUUUUUAAUAAAUAAAUAAAUAAAUUGGGUUUUAACUUAAUCACCUAGGUUUAAUCUAAUUAAUUCCUAUAUUAUUUUUAAAAACCUAACCUGCGCUGAGCCGAGUUUAACAACAUUAUCACUAACUAGUUGUAAGCAAAUGGAGGAGUGAUAAGAAUAUGCCUGGCAGUUGCAGUUGCAUUUGCCAAGGCACUUGUUCAUACAGUCAUUUUCAUCUGAGUAGUCAGGUUCAGCAUCAGGCUUUCCUGCUUUCAUCGAUUUUAAUCCAUAAAGUUAUAGUGGUUGGGUGGUAAUGAAGAUAGCAAUUGUAAGGUGAAAAAUAAUGAUAGCAACCACGAUAAUGACUUUGCAUGUAGUGAUGAUCAUAAGAUUUUGAUGGCUAAGAUUGUUGAAUGAUUUUGUGUACAAAUUAUUAUUUAAAAAAUAUUUAAAAAAAUAUAAAAAUAUAUUUUAUCUUAAAAUAUUUUAUUCAAAACAAAUUCCUUCUUAAACUACCCGUAAAUAAUUAAAUUGUGCUGGCGACAGGCGUACGUGUUUUCUUUUACAACUCUUGGCUCUGCUUUCCCUCGCAAUUAUUUCUGUGGCAACAAGGACCCGUCAAGGCAUUUUUCAACUUUAUGCAUUCAUGCUUUCAUGUCCACUCGUUCUGUAAGUACAUUCUUCAUUUUGACAAAAGCCACUAUUUCCAUCCUAUAUUUUCACCAACUUGUCAAAAGAGUCCCUCCAUUAUUAAUUCGGUCAAUUGAGCACAUGUUUUUUCAAUGUCAGUCAAUUGAGUAAAAUUUUCUGAAAUUGAAGAUUUAUCUUGAUCAAUUGAGAAUUCUUCUUCACAGCCUGGGUUGUGUAGAGUUUAACAACAUUAUCACUAACUGGUUGUAAGCAAAUGGAGAAGAGUGAUAAGGAAUCAAAUAUCCAUGGAAUUCAAUACUUAUAGACAGAAACUAAAUUUGCUACCUGCGUUCUGCCACGAUCUGGAAUUAUUAUUUUUUAUGUAAAAAAAUGCUAAGAAAAAAAAAAGACUAAUUAGUAACUUAAAUAAUAUGAAUAAAAAAAAAUACAACGAUAAUAAAUUAAUUGAUAAGAAAAUUAACAACAAAUAAAAGCUAAACAGGAAUUGACUCAAGUCCAUCUAGAUUAUUAAACAUCCCAAAGUUAAAAGGGCGAAACUGAAAAAAUAUUAUUUUUUUUAAAAAAAAAACAAUGGUUAAAAUGGGUUAACUUGCAAAUUAUGCGAUCUUUGAUAUAAGAUUAGGAUAAUAUAAUGGAAAUGAAAGUAGAAAAAAAAGUUUGAAAGACAAUUCUUAACAAAUCAAAUAAGAACGUGAUAACUCUAUAGAAAAUAAAAUCAGAAUAAAAAAAAAGUCGAAACUCAAUUUCUAGCAAAAUGAAAUGUUGAAAGACAAAAAAAUAAUUUAAGAAAAAAAGAUCAAAAAAAUUUGAUUUCAGCCAACCCGGGUCAAAAUGCAAAAUCUUUGAUUUAGUUGUGAUACCAGAGUAACCGCGUUUGAAAUAAAAAUGAAUAAAAUCAUAAAAUUUAAUCAUCGAGCAACCCAAUCAUAGAGUUGCCGUAGUGGGGUGGUAAUGAAAAUAGCAACAGUGAUGAUAAUAUUGCAUGUAGUGAUGAUGAUAAUUAAGAUUUUAAAUAAAAAAAUUAUAAUUUAAUGAGAAACACAAUUUAAAACAACUUUAUCUAGCUUAAAUUUUCUUUAAUGGUGGUACCAUAGUGAUAGAGUUGCCGUAGUGGGGUGGUAAUGAAGAUAGCAACAGUGAUGAUAAUAAUGCAUGUAGUGAUGAUGAUAAGAUUUUGAUGGUUAAGAUUGUUGGAUGAUUUUGUGUGUAAAUUAUUAUUUAAAAAAUUUUAAAAAAUAUUUUAUUUUGUUAAAUAUUUUAUUUAAAACAAAUUCCUUCUUAAACUACCCAUAAAUAAUUAAAUUGCUUGCUGCAGGCGUGUUCUUUUCUUUUCAAGUCUUGGCUCUCCUUUUCCCACGCAAUUUUCUGUGGCAACAAGGGCCCGUCAAGGCAUUUUUCAACUUUAUGCAUUCAUGCUUUCAUGUCCACUCUUUCUGUAAGUAUAUCCUUCAUUUUGACAAAACCCACUAUUUCCAUCCUAUAUUUUCACCAACUUGUCAAAAGAGUCCCUCCAUUAUUAAUUUGGUCAAUUGAGCAUAUGUUUUUUCAAUUUCAGUCAAUUGAGUAAAAUUUUCCGAAAUUAAAGAUUUAUCUCUAUCAAUUGAGAAUUCUUCUUCACAACCUUAAUGCUUUGAAGUAUAAUAGAAAUAUUAAUAUUUAUAACACAAAUAAUAGUAUUUUUAAUAUUAAUACCUUCAAUUAUAAUAAAAAUAAUAAUAUUUAUGUCACAAAUAAUAAUAAUAAUUUUAUCUUUCAAAUCAACUAUAUGGCUUUUCUUUGGUGGUUAUUAUUAUUAUUAUCAUGGGGGAAAAGUCUUAUUCAUCAAAACUCAUUGCACUGUGAGUUGCACAUUUGGGAGGGGGGACAUGGUGUGAUGUAGCCCAAGGCACAAACACCUGGCACAAGGGCAAUCAUGCUCAGCCAUAUAGAGUUCCAAGGUUGCAGGGGGGAGGUUGCGCCCCAGGCUGCGGACACCUAGCGCUUGGGCUAUCAUUCCCUGGCGCUAGGGCCAGACCUGCGAGCCUGACUGCUCAUCCAAGCCAGCAGGUUUGUUGACCUGUGCGCUGGGUCCGAACAUGGAUCCCUUUCUGUUGGGUCAGGCAUCCUGACCUAAAUCGCUUGUAUCUGGACACAAACCCAGCACCUUUGGGUCCGGACACGGCCCAACCCCCAACCCCUUGAGGUCCAAACACGAAAGGACCAAACCCCUUGAGUCCGAACACCGUAAGACCCAAACCCCAACCCUUUAGGUUCGGACAUGGCCCCAUCCCCAAUCCGUUGGGUCUGAACACGGACCCAUCCCCCAACCCCUUUGGGUCCCCACCCCGCCCAACACGCAACCCCAACCCCCAACCCCCUUGGGUCCGAGUACAGACUUAUCCCCCAACCUUAUUGGGUCCCCACCCCGCCCAACCCCCAUUGGGUCUGGGCAUAAACCCAACCCCCAAAUCCCUUGGGUCCAGACACCGAAGGACCCAAAUCCCUUGAGUCAAGACACCAAAGGACCCAAACCCUAACCACGGGGUCCGAAGAUGGACCUAACCCCUUGGGUCUAGAUACGGCCCAAUCCCCAAGCCCCUUGGUUUAGGGCUACGUACCCAAAUCCCAAGCCCUUUGGGUCUGGACACGGACCCAUCCCCUAACCUACUUGGGUCCCCACCCGCCCAACCCCAACUCCCUUGGGUCUGGACACGAAAUAACCUAAACCCCUUGGGUCUGGACACCGAAGACCCCGAACCUUAACCCCUUUGGUCCGGACACGAACCAAUCCCCUUGGGUUUGGGCACGGACCCAACCUCCCUUGGAUCCGGACACGGAAGGAACCAACCCAACCCCUUGGGUUUGGGCACGGACUCAACCUCCCUUGGAUCCGGACACGGAAGGAACCAACCCCCUUGGGUCCCCACCCCGCCCAACCCCCAACCCCCUUGGGUUUGGGCAUGGACCCAACCCUAAACCCCCAUUGGAUCCGGACAUGGAAGGAACAAAACCCCUUGGAUUCGGACACCGAAAGACCUAAACCCCAAUCCCCUGUGUCCGGACACGGACCCAAACCCCUUUGGUAUUGUUCCACCAAUACAAUGUUAGCUGUUUACAAUUUAUAAAGACAAUGACAUGCGUAUUUUUUGUUGUGCAGAUUGCAAGGCCUGAGCCAACAUGUAUGUUGAUACAGCUGCUAGAAGAGCUACAUCUUAUUUUUUAUUUUUGUAUUGAAAAAAAAUUAAAAGCUCUUGCUCAUUUCCAUCUGCUGAAUCAUGAAGCUUUUAUAUUAAUGUUUUGUUGUUUGGUGUGUUGGUGUAAUACAACAACAUACAUUACUUUCUAUGUAUUGUGUCUUCUAGCUAUGCUAAACCUUGCAUCAUGCAGUAAAAAUGAUAAAUUUUAUUUCAGAAUUUAAAAAAAUCUAUUACAUGUUUCCAUCUUAGAAUAUGUUGUUUUUUCACAUUAGUUUUUAACCAUUUGGUUAGGGUUUUUUUUUUUUCUUUUUAAAAAGAAUACACAAGGUGCCAAGACUUUUAUUAGAAAAAAAAAAAAAGUGAAUUUGAUUUCAAAUAUAAAAUUAAAAACUAUAAAAACUUAGAAAUUUUUUUUUUAACCCACGUUGUUUUAAACACAAAUAUUUUUUAAUACCAUUUUUAAAAUAUUUAUAACAUAAAUAAUACUUUUUUAAUAUUAAUACCAUCAAUUAUAAUAAAAAAAUAAUAUUUAUAGCACAAAUAAUAAUAAUAAUAAUACUUUUAAUUUUAUCCUUCAAAUCAACUAAAUGAUUUUUCUUUGGUGGUAAUAAUAUUUUAUUUCAAAUUUAUUAAUGACUAAUGAUAAUAAGAACAAUAAUUUAUACCUUUACCCUACAAAUAAGUCCUAUACUAGACCUAAUGGUAAUGGGUCUUGCUUCAAGACCUAAUUUCUAUGGGUCCUCGCCAGGCCUAAAUAAUUUGUGUUAUAAAUAUUCUUUGGUUUUUUAAUAUAAUAAAUUUAUAUUAUAAUAUUAUUAUUUCUAUUAUAAUUUAAAGUGUUCAUAAAAAAUAUUAUUAUUUUUGUUAUAAUUUAAAGUGUUCAUAUCUAAAAUAUUAUUUUUAUUAUAACUCAAAGUAUUGAUAUAAAAAAAUAUUAUUAUUUGUGUUAUAAAUAUUAUUAUUAUUUAUAAUUCUAAAUAUUCAUAUCAAAAUAGUAUUAUUUGUGUUAUAAAUAUUAUUAGUUUUAUUAUAAUUAAUAUUAUUAAUAAAUAAUUAAUAAAUUUAAAAAAUAUAUUAUUUUUUAUAUUAUAAUUUUUAUAGUAUUUUUAUGAAAUAAAAAGUGAGCUCGCCACGUAGCACGGACACCCAACUAGUAUAUAUUAAAGGGUUUCAAAUCUCACACUGAAAAAAUAACUUUUUUCUUGUGAACAUAGAGUAUAUAUACUAAAGGGUUUCAAACCUCACUUUGAAAAGAUAUUAUGCUAUUCUUUUAAGUUGAAAUAUUUAAACCAAAAUUUUUUUUUUAUCCCACAUUGAAAAAACAUAAUUUUUUUUCUUGUGAAUAUAGAGUAUAUACUAAAAGGUUCGAAUCUCACAUUGAAAAAAUAACUUCUUUUUUUGUGAACAUAUAAUAUAUAUACUAAAGGGCUUGAAAUCUUAUAUUGAAAAAAAUAAUUUUUUUCUUACGAACAUAGAGUAUAUAUACUAAAGAGUUUCAAAUCCAACAUUAAAAAAAUAAAAUAUUAUACUAGUAUUUAUAAAGUAAACUUUAAAAAUGAUUAAUAACCAACUAAAAAAAUAUAAAAAAAGAGUGGUUUAGGAGAUAAACCACAUUUGAAAAGAAAAAAAAUCUCAUCCGAGUUUACCUAGUUCAACCCGCCAGGUUUUUACACUAGCCGAUCUUGUAUCUUACCCGAACCGAUCUAGCCAAUAAAUCAACCGGAUCAAGUUUAAUUCUAUGCUUUGAAUGCGAUUUUUUUUAUAAUAGGAAGUUGUUUUAAUGUUUUUAAUAAAUAAAUAAAUAAAUUGGGUUUUAACUUAAUCACCUAGGUUUAAUCUAAUUAAUUCCUAUAUUAUUUUUAAAAACCUAACCUGCGCUGAGCCGAGUUUAACAACAUUAUCACUAACUAGUUGUAAGCAAAUGGAGGAGUGAUAAGAAUAUGCUGGCAGUUGCAGUUGCAUUUGCCAAGGCACUUGUUCAUACAGUCAUUUUCAUCUGAGUAGUCAGGUUCAGCAUCAGGCUUUCCUGCUUUCAUCGAUUUUAAUCCAUAAAGUUAUAGUGGUUGGGUGGUAAUGAAGAUAGCAAUUGUAAGGUGAAAAUAAUGAUAGCAACCACGAUAAUGACUUUGCAUGUAGUGAUGAUCAUAAGAUUUUGAUGGCUAAGAUUGUUGAAUGAUUUUGUGUACAAAUUAUUAUUUAAAAAAUAUUUAAAAAAAUUAAAAUAUUUAUCUUAAAAUAUUUUAUUAAAAACAAAUUCCUUCUUAAACACCCGUAAAUAAUUAAAUUGUGCUGGCGACAGGCGUACGUGUUUUCUUUUACAACUCUUGGCUCUGCUUUCCCUCGCAAUUAUUUUCUGUGGCAACAAGGACCCGUCAAGGCAUUUUUCAACUUUAUGCAUUCAUGCUUUCAUGUCCACUCGUUCUGUAAGUACAUUCUUCAUUUUGACAAAAGCCACUAUUUCCAUCCUAUAUUUCACCAACUUGUCAAAAGAGUCCCUCCAUUAUUAAUUCGGUCAAUUGAGCACAUGUUUUUCAAUGUCAGUCAAUUGAGUAAAAUUUUCUGAAAUUGAAGAUUUAUCUUGAUCAAUUGAGAAUUCUUCUUCACAGCCUGGGUUGUGUAGAGUUUAACAACAUUAUCACUAAUUGGUUGUAAGCAAAUGGAGAAGAGUGAUAAGGAAUCAAAUAUCCAUGGAAUUCAAUACUUAUAGACAGAAACUAAAUUCGCUACCUGCGUUCUGCCACGAUCUGGAAUUAUUAUUUUUUAUGUAAAAAAAUGCUAAGAAAAAAAAAGGACUAAUUGGUAACUUAAAUAAAAAAAAUAAAAAAAAUACAACGAUAAUAAAUAAGUUGAUAAGAAAAUUAACAACAAAUAAAAGCUAAACAGGAAUUGACUCAAGUCCAUCUAGAUUAUUAAACAUCCCAAAGUUAAAAGGGCAAAACUGAAAAAAUAUUAUUUUAAAAAAGAAAAAACAAUGGUUAAAAUGGGUUAACUUACAAAUUAUGCGAUAUAAGAUUAGGAUAAUAUCAUGAAAAUGAAAGUAGGAAAAAAAGUUUGAAAGGAAAUUCCUAACAAAUCAAAUAAGAACGUGAUAACUCUAUAGAAAAUAAAAUCAAAAGAAAAAAAAGUUGAAACUCAAUUUCUAGCAAAAUGAAAUGUUGAAAGACAAAAAAAUAAAAAAUAUAUAUAAUUUAAAAAAAAGAUCAAAAAAUUUUGAUUUCAGCCAACCCGGGUCAAAAUGCAAAAUCUUUGAUUUAGUUGUGAUACCAGAGUAACCGCAUUUGAAAUAAAAAUGAAUAAAAUCAUAAAAUUUAAUCAUCGAGCAACCCAAUAUUGAAGGAAAAAAAUUAAAAAAUUAAUUAAAAAAAACUACGAAAAAAAAAUAUGAAUCGACUUGGGCUAACACGCUAACUAGACAAUCAUGGCCAUUAGAUCAGGUGAACCCAAUAGAAAUGAAAGGAAACAAAAGCACGAAGACCGAUUUCCUAUAUAUCUAAUGUUGAAUGAUAAAAUUAAAAUAAAUUAAUUUCAAAAAAAGACAAAAAAAAAAAGUCAACACACGUUAACCUUUAAAAUCAGUGAAUCAAGUCAUGAACUCGAGAUUAACAACAUAGAAAACAAACUGUAAAAUAUCACAAAGAAAAUCUCUAAAAAAAAAGUUAAAAAAAAUUAGCUUAAAAAAAAAAGAAAAAAAAGGAAGCAAACUGGGACAAAUUUCUUGAACUUGAUUUAAUCUCUAAAACUCGUACCUUGUGAAAUUCUAGACUUGCAUUGAAUCAAUAAGCAUAAUUCCCAAUUAGUUUAACAUAUCAAGUUUAAAAACUUUCUAAAGCAAAAAAAAAAUUAAAAAGAAUGAGGAUCAAAUUUGAUAGGAAAAAACUCAAAGGAUGGUGAAAUCAUAAAACAAAAUCAAUUUAAAGAAUGAUCUUAAACAAAAUAAAUAAUAAUAAAAAAAAAUGAAUAUCAAAUUUGAAAGAUGAGAAAAUUAAAGGGCGAUGAAAUUGAAAAGGCAUUUCAAUUUUAUAAAUUAUUCAAGAUAAAAAAAAUUAAAAAAAAUGACCAAAUCUAAUAAAUUAACAAGUUAAAGGGUUGUUUGGAAUUUUUAAGGGAUUAGCACGAAAAUCUAGGAGGAAAAAAGAAAAAAAAAUGGUUUGUGGUUUGUGUUUUUUCAAUAUGUGAUAAAAAAAAUUAGUUUAAAUACUUCAACUUAAAAAGAUAACAUAAUAACAUACUAACAUAAUAUAUUUUCAAUGUGGGAUAAAAAAAAUUUUAAAAUAUUUUUUAAAACUUUAUUAUUUAUAACAUGUAUAAUCUAUAUUUAUAUGAAUUGUUUUUUUAAUUUUUUCAUAUAAAAUAUUAAAACUUUAAAUAUAUAUUUUAAUUUUUUUCUAAGUUAAUUCGAGUUAAUCUAAAUCAACCUAUAUAAUUUAGGACCCAGCAGGUCAGCUUCCGGAUCGAAUCCAAUAACUAUGACUGAUGGUGAUAGGGUUAUACUGGUGGGGCGGUAAUGAGGAUAGUAAUUGUAAAGCGAAAAAUAAUAAUCAACAAUAAUGAUGAUUUUGCAUGCAAUGAUGAUAAGAUUUUGAUGGUUAAGAUUGUUGAAUGAUUAAUUUUGUGUACAAAUUAUUAUUUUAAAAAUAUAAAAAAUAUUUUAUCUUGUUAAAUAUUUUAUUCAAAACAAAUUCCUUCUUAAACUACCCAUAAAACAAUGUGCAUGCCUUGAUAUUAGUAUUGGUCUCACUAUGUUUGGGGCAAUAUGAUCCUUUUCUAGCCUAUAAAUAAAUGUCGUGUUAUUAUUUUCCCUUCCAUUAUUGUUUCUAGCUACUCUAAUAUACCUCCAAAGAGUUGCUGAAGAUUUAAAUUCUAUUAAAGAAAUGAUAUUUUUAUAUUCAGUUCUUUGAAUUUAUAUAGCUAUCCUAAAUUUUAGUCUCAACAUUGAUAUGCUAGAUAUUUCUUUAUAUAUAUAUAUAUAUAUACACACACACUAAAGACACAAUUAUCAUUUAUUGAUAGAUAUAUGAUUGUUUAUUUUUAUAUUUAUUUUGUCAGGUUUAUUUAUUUUAUAUAUAUCAAAACUAUCAUAAAACAUUAGAAAAUAAUUAAUUUGAUGCUCUUUAAAAUUAAAAAUACUUUCAAAAAAUACAUAAAAAAUAGAAGCAUCACCAAAUACAAAAAUAUUAAACUUUAGAACCAAAUAAUUCGUACAUUGCCAAAGUUCAACUUUUUUUUGAUAUUGUGGACUCACUCUCAAUAACCAAAUCACGGGAGAGAGUUCAUUAACGAGAUCUCUAGAAAUUGCAUAUUUAUAUAUGGGUUGAGAAAUUCUCUUUAUUAUACAGUAUAUAAUUUAUGUAAACCAAACGUCAACUGAGCAAUGAUUUUCUUUAUUGAUACCGUGAGAUCCCCUAGCCAAGACAGACAAAGUAUACCAUAAAGUUUAAUCCCAAAAAUAAUAAUAAAAAAAAAUAAAGAACUAAAAAAAAAAACUGAAGGAAUGAGAAAAAAAAACUCUAUUACAAUUCGUAGUGUUUUCUCUAUAGGUGAACAUGACUUUUGCCGGUGAGCCCACCAAGCCCCUGUCCAGAAAACUACAGAGCAUCUCCUUAAUCAUGUCCGGAUCAGACAUGGCCAACAACCUGGGCUUGACUCCAAACCGGUGGAGAAAUGUCUUCCUACUCUUCCUUGACCAUUGAUAGACGUUGGCAUGGACAAAUUGAUAUUAGGCUGUUAUCCUAGGACCUUCCGAAGAUUGGAUUGUAGGUAAGGCUAGUAUCUGUGCCCAUUUGAAAUGGUUUUGGAUUCUCCAUGGAACCCUUAAAACUGAGUGUAGGAAUUUCAAAAUGCAGAGUCUAAAGAAGAUCACAAAGAGAAGAAAAAAGCAUGGUGAAAGAAGGAUCGUGCAGUUGGCUUGAUUUGUGAGACGAGAUUGUUUUUACCAUCAUUAAAGUAAUGUGCAGCUGCAAUGGUUGGUGAAUUAUGAGGGGUGGUUGAAAAUUAUAUGAUGCUUUGUCUCCUUAAAACCAUGGGCACCCUGUAUGGAUUAUGAUGCUCAAAAAGGGUUAGUGUGGAAUCUGAUCAAGCGACUUGACACAGCCGUUGAAAGUGUUCAAAGUUUCGUAAGACUCUAAAUUUAGACGAAUUGAUAAUAACAACGUAGAACACUUGAAAGAAAAAUUGUUUACGGGGCAUUACACAGAUACAAUAAUGAAGUUCUGAGAGGGUUUUGAUUACAAUUUCAGAACAGAAGGACUAAUUAGACAUGAAUUCUGUCUUGGAAAAACAUGAGAUUUCACCAGGAAAAAAAAACCUUCCCAUUCAAAGAUUGAGAAACUUUCCAAGAUUUUACGCAAAUUGACAGGAAAUUAUAUGCCUUCGUCUGAAGCAAUCGCUGUAUCGAUGCUUGUUUCUUGUUUACUUGAAGAUGAAGCUGUGCCAGAAAGGCCUCUCUCUUGUUCACUUGAAGCAAAAGCUGUGCCAGAAAAGCCUCUUCGUAUAAAAAAGGCUGGGUUCUUAGGAACCGGCAAGUUUGCAGUUUCACUGCUAAGCAUCACAACAACAUUCGACAUGGUCGGACGGUCGGAUGGAUCAUCUUGUACGCAUAAGAGUGCAGCAUUUACACACCUCAGAAACUCAUUGGUGUUGCAAAUCUCACGUAAUGUCUCGUCCAUUAAAUCCAAUGCCUUGUCUUCUCUCCAUAAUCUCCAAGCCUGGAAUUUUGAAGUUUAAGUCAGCAUCGCUUAUCAAAUGAUAAAACAUUAUAUUAGCACCGUUGAACUUACAUAAGCUAGAAGGCUUUGGGCUUCAUCAGAAUUAAAAUAUCCGUGUUCCUUUUCCCGCUAAGAAUCUCAAGUACAACGACGCCGAAACUAAAAACAUCAGAUUUGACAGAGAAUAGGCCAUCUAAUGCGUACUCUGGCGACAUGUAGCCACUGCAUUACAACAAUUUUCACAAGAAUCAGUAACUCAGCUGGACAGACAUCUAAUUCAGCAUUAACCAUGACAUGAUUGUAGGAUUGGAGGCUGCUAAAAGAGAAUAUUUGCAUAUGAAUGUAUGUCUGAUGAAUAUCAAUGUUGAUAGGAUCUGAAACUUACUAAGUUCCAACAACUCUGUUUGUGCUCCCUUCGGUUUGUUUGCCUUCGAACAUCCUUGCCAAUCCAAAGUCAGAAAUUUUGGGAUUCAUUUCCGCAUCUAAUAGAAUGUUGCUCGUUUUCAUAUCACGAUGAAUAAUCCUGAGUCUAGAAUCUUGGUGGAGAUAAAGAAGACCUCUAGCAACUCCUAAAAUGAUAUCAAAGCGCAUCUCCCAAUUCAGUAACAUUCCCAGAUCUCGAUCUUCAGAGGUUUUCCAUUUCCAUAAGAACAAAAAUUAGAAACCAUGGGAGCUGCAAACGUACAUUUAUAAAAUAAAAAUGAUGAAUCUGUUUAGAGACUAACCAAAUAUGAAGGAAUCUAAGCUUUUGUUAGGCAUAUAUUCAUAGAGUAAAAUCUUUUCAUCUCCUUUUAUGCAGUACCUACUAGUCUGACAAGAUUCCGAUGCUGCAAUCUAGCAAUCAAAAUCACCUCAUUCUUAAACUCCUCUAGGCCUUGUCCUGAAACACUAGAGAGUCGUUUUAUUGCGAUUUCUUGACCUCCUGGAAAUUUUCCCUGAAACCAAAGUUGCCAUGCAGGUAAAAUUCAGCCAGAAAACUUGUCAGACACAAAAAUUCCAAUGAUUAACGUAAAUAUUACUUUGUAAACAGGUCCGAAGCCCCCUCUUCCAAGCUUGUUUGCUUCUGAAAAAUAAUCCGUAGCCGCUAGUACGCUGUCUAAAUCAAAUAAAGGUACAUCUAUGCCCUUCUUAUCUUCUUCGUUGAACUCUUCUGCAUCUAUCAAGUUCUUGACCCGUUUCUCAGUGCCAUACAAAACAGC